CAUCCCUAUACAUGCAAGUCGAACGAACUCUGGUAUUGAUUGGUGCUUGCAUCAUGAUUUACAUUUGAGUGAGUGGCGAACUGGUGAGUAACACGUGGGAAACCUGCCCAGAAGCGGGGGAUAACACCUGGAAACAGAUGCUAAUACCGCAUAACAACUUGGACCGCAUGGUCCGAGUUUGAAAGAUGGCUUCGGCUAUCACUUUUGGAUGGUCCCGCGGCGUAUUAGCUAGAUGGUGGGGUAACGGCUCACCAUGGCAAUGAUACGUAGCCGACCUGAGAGGGUAAUCGGCCACAUUGGGACUGAGACACGGCCCAAACUCCUACGGGAGGCAGCAGUAGGGAAUCUUCCACAAUGGACGAAAGUCUGAUGGAGCAACGCCGCGUGAGUGAAGAAGGGUUUCGGCUCGUAAAACUCUGUUGUUAAAGAAGAACAUAUCUGAGAGUAACUGUUCAGGUAUUGACGGUAUUUAACCAGAAAGCCACGGCUAACUACGUGCCAGCAGCCGCGGUAAUACGUAGGUGGCAAGCGUUGUCCGGAUUUAUUGGGCGUAAAGCGAGCGCAGGCGGUUUUUUAAGUCUGAUGUGAAAGCCUUCGGCUCAACCGAAGAAGUGCAUCGGAAACUGGGAAACUUGAGUGCAGAAGAGGACAGUGGAACUCCAUGUGUAGCGGUGAAAUGCGUAGAUAUAUGGAAGAACACCAGUGGCGAAAGCGGCUGUCUGGUCUGUAACUGACGCUGAGCUCGAAAGUAUGGGUAGCAAACAGGAUUAGAUACCCUGAUAGUCCAUACCGUAAACGAUGAAUGCUAAGUGUUGGGAGGGUUUCCGCCCUUCAGUGCUGCAGCUAACCGCAUUAAGCAUUUCCGCCUGGGGAGUACGGCCGGCAAGGGCUGAAACUCAAAGGGAAUUGACGGGGGCCCGCCACAAGCCGGUGGAGCAUGUGCUUAAUUCGAAGCUACGCGAAGACCUUUACCAGUCUGACAUACUAUGCAAAUCUAGAGAAUAAGACGUUCCUUCGGAAUUGAUACAGUGUGCAUGGUGGUCGUCAGCUCGGUCCUGAAUGUGGUAGUCCGCAACGAGCCCACCCUUAUUAUCAGUUGCCAGCAAUAGAUUGACCUUGUGAACUGCGGUAACAACCGU
rnacentral:rRNA from 2 species